UACGAAGGUGGCAAGCGUUACUCGGAAUUACUAGGCGUAAAGGGCAGGUAGGUGGUCUGAUAAGUCUGUUGUGAAAGCUCCCGGCCCAACUGGGAGAGGUCAACAGAAACUAUCAGGCUUGAGUAUGGGAGAGGGUACUGGAAUUCCUGGUGUAGCGGUGAAAUGCGCAGAGAUCAGGAGGAACACCGAUGGCGAAGGCGGCCGGCUGGGCCAUACCUGACGCUGAGGCGCGAAAGCGUGGGGAGCGAACCGG
rnacentral:rRNA from 1 species